GGAGCAUGUGGUGCUGCAUGAUGCAUUUAUAACGUCCUCCGGUGUUUCUCUGAAGCUGGUUUAUAUUUUUGGGAAAUAGAACCAAUCUUAACUCAUUAGAAAAUAUUACAGAUUAUGAAAACAGUCCUGUACACAUCUCUAGUUGAGAACUGGAGUGACGUAGCUGAGGUUGAGCAAGAAUUCACGUACCACGCUGAUGUUUCUAGAUUUCUUCCACUAUUUCCUGGAACAUAGUGGGAAUUAUGAGCUGUUACAAGGGUGAUGUUACUGCAAACAUUCUGUUUAAGUCUUGCUAGCGAUGUCCUCCAAGUUACUUUGCAAUUUUGGUCUCUUUUCUGACGUUAGUGAAUUGACUGAAAUGGUGUUAUUUCUUCAUUGCGACAUCGCUGACCUCUGUAGGCUUCUAAGUAAUACGAAAGAUGCUAAAACUGUGGUUCGUGAACUUCCUUAUUUGAUUACUGAUUAUUCAAUUUCCUUUUAACCGGUGUCCCAGACUGCACUGCCAUACCAGGCUCUGAUUAACACUUUCACAGUCACAUGCGGAAGACCUUCAGAUCACAUGUCGGACUCGAUUCUUCUGGGUCACAACGUUUUCGGUGUCAUAUGUCCUCAUACGUCCUCAUACGUCCACAUGAUUAUUCACGCAAUGCUAACGUGACACACAGAUACAUAGCGCAGAUGAUUAUAUACAGUACAGUGCAUCUAAAAAAUAACGUUCUGUAUAUUCAUUCUACAAUAACGAUGUCCAUAAAAGAUCAACAAUGUCGCCAUAACGAUUCCUUUAUAUUUAACGUCAAAUGAAUGCAUCCCUUGGUUUGUUUAAACACAUUUUAUUCAUUACCACCAGUUAUAACAUUAUUAAUAUAGAAUCAUUGAUUGAUGGGAAAGCAUGAGCACAUGACAAAGAUAUUUUAUUUCAACACAUUUCUUGAUCCACGUCUGAAAUCAAGUCCUGGUUACACCACUGCGCUGAACUCUCUACCUCUACAUUCAGUAUCUGUAAUGGUGUAAGCAAUUUUAUUUCCGUUAAAGGGAUAUGCCAGAGUUUCUCAACCCAAUCUCGAUAUCUAUAUCUGUAGUGCACGAAUGAUUACUAUUGACAAGACAUUUCAGAAAACCAGUUUAUUCCAAACUCAGUCUAAAGUCAGCUAAAUUAUUCAAAUACUAGUCUAAACACUGUAAUUAUAAAGGCAUUUACGUAAGACAGACAUGAGAGAGAGUCCAGAGGCUCAGGAAGGCAUUUUGACACACAGACAGGAUGUACAAAGUGACAUCAUGCUAAAUGAAGUCAUUAUAUGUUUCCCCCCCAAGAAAAUGAACAGUGUGGUUCAUUUUUUUUUAUCUAACAGAACGUAUUCCGAGAAAAUAUACAGUACAAGAUAGAUGACACUGAUAACACGAACGUUUAAAGGGUUCUAGAUGUAUCCUUCUUUUCUAAAAGUGUAUGAAAAAAAACCCAUUAUUAAUAUUCUUAUUAUUAUGCAAAUUCCAACUCUUUGGAAUGGAAGGUUAAUGUCCUACCUUUCCAAAAAAAAGUUAUAGAAGAGGAAACCUGUUGAAUGUUUCAACAGGGACAAAUGGAAUAAAAAGAAACCCCACCUAGAAACUAAAAAGCAAAAGGUCACUGGAUGUGGAAGGUUGGAGGUGGUGGGGGUCAGUAAAGCAGAUUUUAUCUGAGCUUGAGGAUGGUCUGGUAUUGGUAUGGUGCUGUGUUUCGUUCAUUCUAUUAUUUAAUUAAAGAAAUGACUCAAUGUUAUUUAAAUUCCCUCGAAAGACAUCCGGUUCUUAAAAUCUACCAUUAUAAAGCUUUUUUGUUAGGCUUUCCUUUGAUUCAACCGUGGUAUUUUCUAUAUCGUCUAUUUGUGCUGUACGUACUAUGUGGUAUUUGCUCCUGAUUUGAGUCUUUUCUUGCUCUAACUCAAUCACUUCACCUCAGCUGUUAAUUAGCUGAUCAAUUAAAUCAGGAAUGUUGGGAGAAGAGAAACAGUAAACUGUGGAUUCUCCAGCACCAGAGUUGGGAACUUGUGAAUUUGAGUGAUGAGAAAACACAGUUUUGUAUUUAUUUUGGACUCUAAACACGAAUUAUGCAAGAAAAUGAAAUGAGUGUCUGACUUAAGCCGUGUCAUUAAAGAAUCUGGUGUGGCUUUAGCUUUCUUUUCGGUGUAGUAAAGGGAAGAAUGUGAAGAAUCGAAUCGUUCAGAAAGAAUCUUUGAAGUGAACCGGAUCUAAAAGACUUGUAAAUGUGGUGCUGAUUAUAUUCGGUCAUAUAUAUCUUUUUUUUGUAACAGAUGAGUCAAUAGAAACUGGCAGGCAUUUAAGUUAUGUAAAUGCCCCUCACUCAGUUUAAAACAACAACAAAACACACAACCGAACGACUCGGAACGAAUCAGUGAGUGAAGGAAUCGAAUCACUUUGUUGUACUGAACUAAACAAAUCGACUCACUAUAAAUGAAGUGCUCUGUACACCACUGUGGCAUUCAUUGUCUUACUGUAAUUAUCAUCGAGUUCAUAUUACGUACAUCAGGUUAUUAGCAGGCUAAUGCUAAAGCGCUAAAAAGUAGUUUUUACCGGAGCUCACGGUGAAGGGGGGCGGGGAGGUGGAGCUUGUGAUGCGACGUGCAGCGCGAGCUCGCGGAGCCAUGUGCUCUUCUGCACGUUCUGCACGUACACGUUCUUUUAUUCGCAGUGCAACUGCACAGCAGUUACUCAUCAGCGCGCACGUAAGAGUCGUCCACUGGGUGUGCGCGUGCAUGCAAGAACACAGCAGGGUUAACCAAAAAAAAAAAAGAACACCAUCACUUGUGCGAUCCAAGAGAGAGAAAAAAAAUAUGCAUGCAACAAACAAACAAACACACAACUCCGUUACGUGCAUGCAUGACGUCACGAGCACUCAUUUACAGGCUGCACUACAGUAACCUACAUAACCGAUGAAAAGCUAUGGGUUGUCAUCUAUAUAACAUUUUUUUAAAUGGUUGCUUUUCGUGCAACUUAUCUCUCUGUCUCUUUUAAAGAGAGUAAAAGAAGAGCGCGAGGGUGGAGUUGCUGGAUUUGUGUUUACGGAUUAAGGAUUUAUGGUGUGUGUGUAAUUAGAAACCACACUGAGCUAUGCUAUGGAGCAGUUAUGUAAUCACUUCCCUGUUGCCCCUGCAAGCAUGCAUGCUGCUCUGCACAUCUCACUGCAGCUCAUCUGAACAUCCAAACAAAGUGGAAUUCUCAUGCACUUGAUUAAUGAUUAAAGUGCAAACAUGGCAUUGUGGCAUUGGUAUUGCACCUGGACUUCUGUGGCACUACUACUAUUACUAAAGCAUGCACUUGAAUGAAGUUUAAAAACAAAGAAGAAGAAGCCGGGUUUGGGAGAACAAUCUGGCAACCCUGGCCACCAGUCUGGCGUAAACAAGUCGGGAUUUUAGGGUGUGAGUCUUACGAAUCGCCUUUCAGCCAAUCACAGCUCACAUCCUGCCCACAUGGCUGGGUUGUUUACUACAAGAACUGGAGAGAGGAACCGAGAAACCCAGGAACUGACUCAAACCGGCAUGUACAACACAACACAUACACUACAAUGGGUAUGCCUCAAAACACGCACUUCUGUACUACUAUAGACUGAGGGUUACACAACUGUUCAACACACACACACACACACACCUUACAUUAAAAACAUCAGGAUGAUGAGAUGUAUAAGCCAAACAUUUAAAAAAGUGCAUGAGAUUCUUCUUUAAAUGCGAGCAGUAAC
ensembl:lncRNA